rnacentral:rRNA from 1 species
CACUUCUAAGGAAGGCAGCAGGCGCGCAAAUUACCCAAUCCUGACUCAGGGAGGUAGUGACAAGAAAUAACAAUAAACCGGCUUAUGCCGGUUUAAUUGGAAUGAGUACAAUUUAACGACCUUUACGAGGAACAAUUGGAGGGCAAGUCUGGUGCCAGCAGCCGCGGUAAUUCCAGCUCCAAUAGCGUAUAUUAAAGUUGUUGCAGUUAAAAAGCUCGUAGUUGGAUUUCUGUGGGGACGGAGCGGCCGGCCGCAACUCGCGGUUCGAGCUAGCGCUUUCCCUACAUCCUGCCGCGAACCGUGCUACCAUUAAUUUGGUGGCGCCGGGGAUCGGCUCGAUUACUUUGAGAAAAAUAGAGUGUUCAAAGCAGGCCACAUGCCUUGAAUAAGUUAGCAUGGAAUAAUAACUAAGGACUUCGGUUCUAUUUUGUUGGUGUUCGGGACUGAAGUAAUGAUUGAUAGGGACAGUUGGGGCGGUCUGUAUUCCAAAGCGAGAGGUGAAAUUCUUAGACCUUCGGAAGACAAACAGCUGCGAAAGCGUUCCGCAAGGAUGUUCCCUUUGAUCAAGAACGAAAGUUGGGGGAUCGAAGACGAUCAGAUACCGUCGUAGUCUCAACUAUAAACUAUACCAGCUAGGGAUCGGCCAACGUUAUUUAAACCGACUUGGUCGGCACCGUAUGAGAAAUCAAAGCAUCUGGGUUCCGGGGGGAGUAUGGUCGCAAGGCUGAAACUUAAAGGAACUGACGGAAGGGCACCACCAGCCGUGGAGCCUGUGGCUUAAUUUGACUCAACACGGGAAAACUUACCAGGUCCAGACAUAGUAAGGAUUGACAGAUUGAUAGCUCUUUCUUGAUUCUGUGGGUGGUGGUGCAUGGCCGUUCUUAGUUGGUGGAGUGAUUUGUCUGGUUAAUUCCGUUAACGAACGAGACCCCAGCCUGCUAAAUAGCGCGCGUGAGCUUUGCUCGCGGCGAGCUUCUUAGAGGGACUAUGAUGCGCGAUAGCACAUGGAAGUUUGGGGCAAUAACAGGUCUGUGAUGCCCUUAGAUGUUCUGGGCCGCACACGGGCUACACUGGCGCCUGCAACGAGCAUAUCAGCUGGCCCGAGAGGGUCUUGGCUAAUCAUUUGAACCGGCGCCGUGCUUGGGAUUGACCUUUGCAAUUGUUGGUCAUGCAACGAGGAAUGCCUUGUAAACGCGAGUCAUCAGCUCGCAUUGAAUACGUCCCUGCCCUUUGUACACACCGCCCGUCGCUCCUACCGAUGAAUGUUCCGAUGAAAUUUUCGGAGAGCACCUGUGAACUUGGCUCUGCCUUGCGAACGGGAGGCUCAAAGUCACUUAAAUCUGAACAUU